rnacentral:rRNA from 1 species
UGAUCAUGGCUCAGAAUCAACGCUGGCGGCGCGCUUAACACAUGCAAGUCGAACGAGAAAGGGGAGCAAUCCCUGAGUAAAGUGGCGUACGGGUGAGUAACACGUGGGUAAUCUACCUCUGGGUGGGGAAUAACUCUGGGAAACCGGAGCUAAUACCGCAUAUUCUCGCGAGAGGAAAGGCGAAAGUCGCCUGGAGAGGAGCCCGCGGCCGAUUAGCUAGUUGGCAGGGUAAGAGCCUACCAAGGCAGAGAUCGGUAGCCGGCCUGAGAGGGCACACGGCCACACUGGCACUGAAACACGGGCCAGACUCCUACAGGAGGCAGCAGUGGGGAAUCUUGCACAAUGGGGGAAACCCUGAUGCAGCGACGCCGCGUGAGCGAUGAAGCCCUUCGGGGUGUAAAGCUCUUUCGGCCGGAACGAUAAUGACGGUACCGGCAGAAGAAGCUGCGGCUAACUACGUGCCAGCAGCCGCGGUAAUACGUAGGCAGCGAGCGUUGUUCGGAGUUACUGGGCGUAAAGCGUGCGUAGGCGGUUUUCCAAGUCUGGUGUGAAAUCUCCCGGCUCAACCGGGAGGGUGCGCUAGAAACUGGGAGGCUGGAGUGCGGGAGAGGUAGGCGGAAUUCCUGGUGUAGCGGUGAAAUGCGUAGAUAUCAGGAGGAACACCGGUGGUGUAGACGGCCUGCUGGACCGUGACUGAC